rnacentral:rRNA from 1 species
GAUGAACGCUGGCGGCGUGCCUAAUACAUGCAAGUCGAGCGAACAGAUGAGGAGCUUGCUCCUCUGACGUUAGCGGCGGACGGGUGAGUAACACGUGGAUAACCUACCUAUAAGACUGGGAUAACUUCGGGAAACCGGAGCUAAUACCGGAUAAUAUAUUGAACCGCAUGGUUCAAUAGUGAAAGACGGUUUUGCUGUCACUUAUAGAUGGAUCCGCGCCGCAUUAGCUAGUUGGUAAGGUAACGGCUUACCAAGGCAACGAUGCGUAGCCGACCUGAGAGGGUGAUCGGCCACACUGGAACAGAGACACGGUCCAGACUCCUACGGGAGGCAGCAGUAGGGAAUCUUCCGCAAUGGGCGAAAGCCUGACGGAGCAACGCCGCGUGAGUGAUGAAGGUCUUCGGAUCGUAAAACUCUGUUAUUAGGGAAGAACAAAUGUGUAAGUAACUAUGCACGUCUUGACGGUACCUAAUCAGAAAGCCACGGCUAACUACGUG